AUGUGGCCCAGGACAAUCUGAUCUAGUACUUGAUCUAAUGGCUGGCAACCCUGUACAUGCAGGGGUUGGAACUAGAUGAUCUUUGAGGUCCCUUCCAACCCAAGCCAUUCUAUGAUCCUCCAGUGGAGCAUUUACAGAUCUCCCUGACAACUCACAGAGUCAGAGUUAUCUCUUGCCACCAUACCCACAGAUCAGAAUUUUUGCCAGAACAAACGUGUUCUUCUUCGGGUUCCCAAAGCAGAUUUGAAGAAGAAAACUUUUAGUCGGUGAAGGCUAACAAAGAAAUGAAAGAAAACACUCCCAAGCUGCCCUGCAAAGAGUCUCAUUCCCCAGGACACUGGCACUAACACAUGCCCAGAGGGAGGCAUGGUGCAGGGAGCAGCUCCCACCCACUGCUCCCUUAGCAGAGAACUACCAUGGUUCUGUCCAGGUGCAGUAAGGAGAGAACAAGAGGUUAAUUAUUGUGUAUCCAAGAGUAUCUUGUUGGGAUGAUAUAAAGCAACUUAAUAGCCGACUUUAAAACGUCAUUAAAAUUAUUUCACUCAGGUUGAGGCAGUGUAAAAUUCAUUUGUUAAUCAGAUAAAAGUGAAUCACCAUUACUACGGCAUUUUAAUUUUAACAAAUAAUAAUGAAAUGUAAAGCCUUUGAUACGGCAGCUGCUGAAGCCCAUAUAUCACAUUUUACAGUGAUUUAAAUGAGAAAUAGCACAAACAGAAGCAUUUGCAAUCAGAGGUUAGAAAUUAUAUUUUUAUUAGAAACUUUGCUCUUUGCCAUUUAAAAUCUAUUUCUUGUGUUCACAAUGAAGAGAGAUUCGGAUUUCAGUGUUCUGAUGGAGCUGAUGACGUUUUUAUGCAGGCAACAAUCUGAGAUUUUAUAGCAUGAAUGUGUAUGAGGGCCUUCAUCUGUAAGCCUCAAUGAGAUGACAUAUAAGUAAUUUCUGGAGAAAAAUUAACCAAUUUAAUUAAUGGGUUAAUGAGAAAAAUUAUUCCAUUCUACGAAGACCAUGUGAUGUCCGUUAUCAAACGGAAGAAAAGUACAGAAAAAUAUGAAAAAUAAAACAACAGAAGGUAACUUGGUGGGAAAGAACAUAAAACCUAGCGAUACCUAAAUAAAACUUCAGAAAGCAAACCAGACAUGCGUUUUACCUGCUCCCUGUGAGCAGCAGUCACAACACAAACUGCAAAGCAACACGCAGUGAACGGUGUUUGCACAGAGAGCUGGGUUCCUAAGAAAUGCAGCAGGACAGCACAGCUGGGAGCUGGGGCAGCCCCCGGGUCACUGCCAGCAGUGCCGUGCUGCAGCCGUUCAGUGAGCUGCCACGGGCACCCUGCCCCAGUCCUACCUCACUCCCAGCUACGGCCCCAGCUGUCAGAGCAGGGAAAAGUGACCCAUCCCUACGUGCAGGCCCAUGUAGCUGCAGAUGUAACCUGUUAGCUUUCAUUUUGUGUCAUUUAUCUGCUCCUUGCUGUGGAGCAGAGUGUAAGAAACUCUCUUAGAGCAUUACACAUUCUUCACAAAGCAGACCUUAAAAUACACUCUCUUUAUCUACAGAGGAGGCCAGUACAAUUGGACCUUUUACAGAUAAGGAACCUGUCACAAGCAGGACUAGGGGGAUUUACUCAGGUUUCCCAGCAGGAGCUGAGUGCAGAACAGGUCUUCAGAGCUCACUGCUGGGUACAGCAGUGUCUGCCACAUCUAUUGCCAAAUACAUUGCUCAGGAUUUGUAACCAGCAAGCAGAACACUGGAGGAGGUGUUUAGUUUAACUUCCAUUUCCAUCCUUUGCCACUUUGCUAGAUGCAUGCUGAAAACUUAAGAAUUUGAACACUGGUAAAAAAUGACACUUCAACCCUUAUUUCACACAACCACGUAUCUGCUGCUCGCUUUCUCCCCGACUCAGUCCAAACCCAAAUCACUUUUAUCACCAGCCACAGACCUGGGAAGGGCACUGCAUGGAUGAGUAAGUCCUUCACGCUUCAGCAGCAGCUUUCGUCUACCUGCUUCACGAACACGAAUGCAGGCACACAGGAACAGGGUCGUGCAUCACGUAUAUGCAACCUUUGAGGCAUAUGAGGACUCAAGAGGAAAAGGUGUAGGGCAACCUCUGCCACAUUCUAGCAGGGCAGCAGCAGUGCUCUUUCCUCUGGUGCAAGGCAUGAGCUCUGCAUCAUGAGCACAGCUGCAGCUGAGAGUACCUGGACUUCAGAACCAGGCACUGACCCACACCUACUGAAGAAAGGCUGUGGUGCCUGACAGCCCUUUAGCAACUUUUUCUAUUGUGCUAAACAAUGAAUGACCAGAGCCAUCUGGAGACCUAGGAACACAGUUGUCCUCCCCCUCAGCAUUUCAUUGCCUCAUUUGAUAAGAACAGCAGAGGGUACCUGCACGGGGUAAGGCACAGUGAUGCCCUUCUAAUGAGAAUGUGGGGUGGCUGCCCCGCCAGGCUGCUGAGAACAGCUUAAGCAAAGACCUCUCAAGACUGGUUCAGACUAGUGCUAUCUUUGGGUAGAGGGUACAAGCACGAACCUUCCGUGUCAUUUUAGAUUUAAAGAAGGACCAUUAAUAUUGGAAAACGGUGCUGGAUCUCACGUUCCUCCUUCUCUUCUCUCAGAAGCUAGAGGCAGCGUCAGUGUGAUGUAGGAGAGAAAAGAGCUGUGCUGAUGGGCCCAGUCCUCAGGGUGCAGUGCCUGAGCCCAGGGACAGACAGCAGGGUGCUCAGGGCCAGGCACAGGCAGCCUCAGCCUCAGCACGUGAGGACAAAGCAUCAGAGCCCAGGUGGGGCAGCUGUCACAGAAGAGGCAUUCAUGGUAUUGUUACUGGUCAUAAAAGUGGUAAUUAAUAAUUAACCUGACCUCAUCCUCAACCCUUAACAACAGAGCAUCUACUGGUAUAACUUCUUGACAUGUAAUUUAUUGCGUUACUCAAUAACGCUCCUCCUUGACAACCAAGAUGUCAUUUACAGGAAACAGAACCAUCCAGUUUCAGAAGCCUCCACCAUCCAAAAAGAAGCAUAGGUACUGCAGGAAAAUCGGGACUUGUCAGCAAUGGAAAGAACUACACUUCACAUUUUGAUGGAUAUCUGGUGCUUACAUAUCACAUGUUACUUGGUUACACAGCAGUGAUCAAAUGGGCCAAUGCCGUGACAGAGGUUUUUUGUGUCCUCAUCAGAGCAUCCAGAACCACAACAGCCAAUAUUGCAGACACAAGAGAUGUUAUGGAAAAAAUCAAGAAAAGGAAAAGAAACAAGCAGUUCCAAGGGCUGCUAAUCUGGUGGAACAGGCUGUUCUUUGGAUUUCGGUCUCGUGUUGUUCUUCUGGUGGCUAUGUUACUGGGUAAAUUCCAACCAGGGCUCUCUCAUGUAUGUUCUCCUCUGUCUGAUAAGAAAACAGACAAGCCCUUCACUAAAUAGAAGGAUCUGUCUCAUCUAAUCAGCUGUGUAUUUUUACAGAACAUGCAGGAUUUUUUGAGACCUCAAGCCUGCUGUCAGAUAUGGUUAAAGCUAAGUAGUGGGUUGAAAAAUCAUUUUGGAGAACAGAAGGAUGCACACGUAAGUGUUACUCCACUAGGAAACCCAGGAGCAAGCAGUGGUAGGAGAAAAACUGCGUGCUAGCUUACACACCACUGCACGUGUCUAAUACAAGGGACUUGUUGAAAAAGGGCCUAACUGAGAGAUGAUCCUGGCUACACUGGGCAGCUAGUGCUUUAUAUGGGAGGAAGUUGUGGGUUCACUCUGGGGCACACCUGGGGCCACCAGCAGGCUGUCCCUGCCAGCAGGGCACAGCUGGAAUUACAGCUGGACCUACAGACGGCAGCACUGAGGUAGCAGGGUGCUGCUGUACAACACAGCAGCCUAUGUUCUACCUGUUGUUACGGCUCUCUUUAAUCUAACGUAAAUUGCAUAACUUCUUUGACUCAAUUUCUCCACCUAUAAAACAGUGUUAUUAAUACAUGCCUGAUAACCUCAAAGGCUAGUACAGCAUAAUUAACAAGCGUGUUCAGUGCUUUGAAGACGGGAAUCUCUGUGCAAGUGCUUGGUUGUGCUACCCACACAUGGAUCUUUUGUUUUAGAGCUUUGCCUCUACUGCGUGUAAACUGUCCUGUGGGGAUUUACGAACAAAUCAUAGAACACCCUGAGUUGGAAGGCCCCACAAGGAUCAUCGGGUCCAACCCUCAGCUCUGCAUAGGACCACCCAAAAACCAAACAUUAUGUCUGAGAGCAGCAUCCAAAAGCCCUUUGAACUCCAGCUGUGCCCACCACCCUCUGGGGCAGAACCCUUCCCUAACCCCCGCCCGGCACUCCCCUGACAGCUCCGUGCUGUUCACUCGUGCCCUGUCGCUGUCCCUCCGCUCCCUGUGAGGAGCUGCAGGCCCAUGAGAGGCCUCCCCUCAGCCUGCUCUGCUCCGGGCUGAACAAACCGAGGGCCCUCAGCCGCUCCUCAUACACCUCGUUCUCCAGACCCUUCACCAUCUUUCUUUGCAGCCCUCCUUUGGAUGCUCUCUAAUGGUUUUAUGCCCUUCUUUUAUUGUGAUUAUUACCCUUUCCCGAUUUUCACAGAUCCACGUAUUUUCAUAACUACUUUGUUAAGCUGACGCUUUCCUUUGGGUUUCCACAGGUCUGCACCCAUGGGUGUCUGCUGCCAGGACUCACAGAGCCUGGACAGGGGGUGUGUGCUUGUGUUUUGCUCCAUGUGUACCUUCCAACCUCCCGGCAAUGAAACCAAUUUCAAAGCAAACAUACCAUGUAGAUAAAGUAGGAAGAACCAACCUGCUCCAGCUUAUAAAAAUCUCAACUAGAGUUCUUUUCCACAAAAUUUUGUCAAUGUUCACUCAAACUGAAGAGGUUAGAAGAAAAAAGAAAAAAAACACAAGUAAGAUUUGGACAUGGGAACAGGCUGCUCAGGGAUGUGGUGGAGUCACUGACCCUGGAGGUGCUCAAGAAAAGUACAGAUGUGGUAUUCAGGGACAUCGCUCAGUGAGCAGUGCUGGUGGUAGGUAGAUGGCUGGACAAGAUGAUCUUAGAGGUCUUUUCCAACAUUCAUGAUUCUGUGAUUCGAAGGUGAGGGCACUACGAUCAGCAGAGAUGGGCUCUUUUUUAUCUCUUAGAGUCUGAAGGAGUGCAAACUAUGGAUUAGCAAUCUUCAUCUGGGCCUUAGAGAGGAAAUAAUCCAUACAAAUACUGCCAUUAGGCUACAAACAAAUGCAUGCAGCAUACACUGGGUAUACUGUGCUAAUGCAGAACCUGCAUUCAAGUCACUCCAACAAAACCCAAGCUUCUGAGUAGCUACUAUACACAUUACAGCCACAAAACCGUUUGAGUACUUGGUGGCAAAGCAUUACAAAAGCCAACAACAAGUGCUAAAAGAUGUUUUAUUCCAGCAAAGACGUACAGCUCCAGCACUGCCUUGCCAUGAAGCACACGGACUAUGCAAGUGUGCCCUGCUGCAUUCCCUUGGCCAGGAGGGCUGGGGAUCAGACAUUAGCUGGCCAGGGUGUCCGGGUCAGUGCCAGCCCCUUGCACAGCCCAGAAGCAGCCUUCCUUCAGAGUUCUGGUGAGAAAACAGGCAUGAACUGAAGUCAGGAAGGACCCCAUGCAAUGCUCUCCUUUCUCGUGAAACAUGGUUCUCCCUUGCUUUGAAAGCUUGGUCCUAUAAUCCCUCCAAGCAUGGAAAGAGAGGGGAAUAGUACUGCAGGGGCACAGCAGUGAGAUGCCUCCAUUUGCACUUUGGUAUUUGGGUGUUGUUUUGGGAGAAGGGGCGUUGCCUGCUCCUUCUGAUGUUUGCAAUUGUACUGAAAGCAAGUUGCUUGCUCAAAAGUAGGUGCCCUUAUGUUUUAAAAAGAGGAACAGACUACAUCUGCUCGUUACAGUCCAGUUCAGAAACACAAACAGGAUUGAACUACACUGAGGAGCUGCUCUCACUGCUUCUCCCCUGUACCUCAGCCAGUUGUACAAGAUUUGCUGUCUUGGAUAAACUUUGCUCUUUGGUUGACUGACCACAUUUUGCAAUUCUUUUUUCAAACUUGUUUGCAGUUGUGGUAUGCAGCAGAGAAUUAGCUCUUUGGCAGAAAGCAUGGAUUACUUGACCUCUAUAAAACUUAGUAAAAAUGAGUGAAAUCAGGACCUCCCCGAAAAACAAAUGUUACAGCCAACUAAGCCAGCUGCAGAAUAUGUUUUUAAUUGCAAAUGGCUCAGGGACUUCAUGGACUUAGAGGCUAUUGCAGGUGCUCUCUUGGAUAAGAGAGAAAUCUGCCCUAUUUCUGGUGUGUGAAAACAUAUCUCUGCAGAACACAGGCAUUAAAGCAUACAUCACAUCUACUUGUUUAUCACAGAGACAGAGCUGAAAAGGUCUAAACACAAGUAUCUCGAACACCAGUGAUACAAAAUACUCAGCUGCAAGAAACAAGGGCUUGCUGCUCUGGUUGAUCUGCUGAACUCUGGAGAGCAAACACCACAACCAGAGUUUUUAAAACAUGGAUUGAACUUUUAUUUUUUUCUAGAAGGAGCACCUGGAAUUGCAAGGAAAGCUAAAAUAAAAGUAAGUACAGGAACAAAAUGCAGACAUUGAGAAUUUAAAUUACAUGCAGAGAAUCACAGAUUUUAUGCAAUCAACAAUAUCCAGAUUGUUCGUGCUUGAGUCAUAAAACAAGUUUUAAAGCAUGAAAAACAAAUCAUUCAUGUUGCUGAGACUGUUAUUAUAGGAUACGUUUCUCUGAGGUGUAAUAGUUUCAUCUCUAUUACAUUGAAUGCUGUCAGUGAUAAUCUGUCCUCGGUCACUAUUUUUGCUAGCAGCUUAUUUGUCGUGGAUAAGACUUCCUGUUUUUUGAGCACCUCCUAUCUGAUCCACUCACUGAAGUCCCCGGUGAUAUCUGUAAUCUCAAGGCAUUACAAAGGAAAGAAAAGUUUCGUUCUCUCUGCAGAGAGUUACUAUUUUUACAUGGUUGCAUUGCAGCUAUUCAUAGCUACAAAAUGUUAAACUGCUGCAGCAGUUCGUUCAGAUGCAGAAAACCCGUUUUCAGCCUCUUCCUACAUUCAAAAUGCUGUCAGAGAUUCCUACAAAUUUAUGGUAAGAAAAUGAGCUCUUAAAAUGCAUUGCACGCUGUACCACUACUUCACCACAGGGAGAAACAUGUUAGAAGGAAAACUAUGUUUCUCCCCAAAAGAGGCAGUAAAAAACAAUUAAAAAAAAAAAGAAAAGGAAAAGGUUUUUAGGUCUUGAAUCAAACAGCUGAGUGAAUCUGAGUUAUGGGGUGUCAUUCUUAAAAGCAUUUCUGAAGCCACUUGGAAGCCUACAUCUGAUUUUAGUCAGUGGUAUUCACACCCAGACGCCUCUGAUCUGUAUGUUAGUGACUACAUACAAUUAUUAGUGAAUGAAACGCACAGCGCGCUCGAUUCUUACUAAACUGCUGGCUUAAGCUAUAAGGAGAGAAAGGGAGUUCUGCAACCCAGCCAACUGACGGCAUGAAAACCAACAGCUCCACAGCUCUCGCCCCAUUCCUGGGGCCUCAGACCUGUGAACAGCCGCUCCUGGCUUUGUGAGGAGCAAGGAAGGCCAAGGGAGCUCCUUUACCCCAAAGCCAGCUGCAAGCACCACAGCAAGGACCACCGCAGAACAAGAGAAGCCCUGGGCAGCUCUCCCAACAUGGGGCACGCUACGUGAAGCCUGUGGCUGGCUCUUGGCAGAGGGUCGUGCCAACCAGGGAAGGAAGCCUGGCAGUUCCAAACCUGGGGGCACUUUCUCCAUUUCAUGUUCUAAUAAUAGUUUCUGCAGCUUUGCCUCAUGUAAGCUUCCCAGCAAACGCCUGACUGCAGCACAAAACAAUCCUUCAAACAUCUCCAUUUCACCCAAGAGAGACAAUUCCAGUCUCUUUAGCUUUUUAUAAAACCCUUUCAAGAGCUCAGUUCUCUUUUUCACAAGCAGCUCACCUUCCCCUAAAAUGUGCGGUUAUGAAUGGAGUGAAGUAGCAGGGAUGAGUUCUGGCCAUAACAAGGUCCCCAGCUGACGUGUUUUCUGACAUCAUCCCCAGCACUGCAGGACUCAGUCAGCCCGACAGCCCGUGCUGCUGUUCCCAGGACACGGGCACCACUCCACAAACAACAGCUAUUCACCUCAUCUACCGCAUGUGGGUCAAGAGCCAGGUGCCUUAUAAAGCAGCACAGAAUGUUUUUUCUGGUGCACCCAAGGCUUUAUCACAGCAGCUGUUUGGGAUUGGAACACAGGUCAGCACGCCGUCCCCACCUCCUUUCUGGCCUUGCUGUUUCCCCUUUGCAUGCCAAAUUCCUUCUUGCUGCAGGAGCCAGCCAACAUUGCUGUUCUCACCUAGCUAUCAUGAAGGCCUCCAGGAAGAGCUGAGAGAGUAUUUUUCAAACAUCAACUUGCAUAAGAAUCCAAUUUUCCUGGUUCUGCAUUUAAACCUCCAUCAUGCUUAGGAACCACAAAUAUUUCUGUGAUGCGUUCAGUGUCAGAGAAACUCAAGAAGAAAAAAAAAAACACCUAGAUUCUAGAUUUACGUUAGAGGCUAUCCCCAGAAAAGUCGUUUUUAACUCGAACACAAGAGCCUUUGCUCAACGCAGAUCUAAGACACUAGCCUACACCUAAGAGUUGGACCUGCGCAGUCACGACCCAUACACACACACAGACAUUACGACCUACAGAGUGUCUUCAUGAUGAAGAUACCAGCUGAAGUCACCUGGAGGCCUUCCUGACCUCCUCUGUGAAUACCAGAUUUCAAGAAAAGAGCUUCAACUCUUGCUUCUCCGCAGGGGCUGGAAUGAAAUAAUGCUCUCGGGGUACACUUACAGGACACAAAGCAGCUCCAUCAGCAAAUGUCUGUCUGGGAAUAUAAUCUCCUCUAUAGGACUGGUUACACCAGGGCCCAACUGCCAUGGUGCUCCAGCUCCCAGCAGGUGGAACAGCCAGCUGCACCCAAAGUAAGCAUGCACAUCCUGCCCAGAAAGGAAGGGGGAAACCACAGCCUGCUUAUCUCUUCAGUAAAAGUGCACCUGGCACUUCUGCAGCCAUGCUGCUUCCACUACCCAAGCGAACACAAGCGGCCUUAAGCAGCAGCACUUGGCACCACACUCAGGGCUGGUGCUUGGCAGCAGCGCCCUGCAAGCCAUAAUUAGCUCAGCUAGCCUCAUGCAAGCUCAGACCUGCAAUUCUGUUCCCUCCAGGAGCAAUGACAAACUGUAAGCACUGUCCAAAUAACCUCUUGUAAGCAAGUGGUAUCUAUUUAAAAUAAACCUCCCUCAACACUG